GAUGAAGAACGUAGCGAAACGCGAUAGGUAAUGUGAAUUGCAGAAUUCCGUGAAUCAUCGAAUCUUUGAACGCACAUUGCGCCCGCUAGUAUUCUGGCGGGCAUGCCUGUCCGAGCGUCAUUUCAACCCUCAAGCCCCCGGGCUUGGUGUUGGGGAUCGGCGAGCCUCCGCGCCCGCCGUCCCCUAAAUCUAGUGGCGGUCUCGCUGUAGCUUCCUCUGCGUAGUAGCACACCUCGCACUGGGAAACAGCGCGGCCACGCCGUUAAACCCCCAACUUCUGAACGUUUGACCUCGGAUCAGGUAGGAAUACCCGCUGAACUUAAGCAUAUCAAUAAGCGGAGGA
rnacentral:misc_RNA from 1 species